UACAGAGGGGGCAAGCGUUGUUCGGAAUUACUGGCGUAAAGGGCGCGUAGGCGGCCUCUUAAGUCGAACGUGAAAUCCCCGGGCUCAACCCGGGAACUGCGUCCGAUACUGGGGGGCUUGAAUCCGGGAGAGGGAUGUGGAAUUCCAGGUGUAGCGGUGAAAUGCGUAGAUAUCUGGAGGAACACCGGUGGCGAAGGCGGCAUCCUGGACCGGUAUUGACGCUGAGGCGCGAAAGCCAGGGGAGCAAACGGG
rnacentral:rRNA from 1 species